ACUCUAAUAGCUCAGUUGGUAGAGCACUCGUCUAGUUAAUGAUAGGUCUCCAGUUCGAUCCUGGGUGGAGGCA
rfam:Phlebotomus papatasi Contig3653.1, whole genome shotgun sequence.